UAGCUGAUAUAAAAGAGUGGAUCCAAAGUC
rnacentral:sRNA from 1 species